UACGAAGGGGGCUAGCGUUGUUCGGAAUUACUGGGCGUAAAGGGUGCGUAGGCGGCCUAUUAAGUCAGGGGUGAAAGACGGUAGCUUAACUAUCGACAGUGCCUUUGAUACUGAUAGGCUUGAAUGUACUUUGAGGUAGGCGGAAUGUGACAAGUAGCGGUGAAAAUGCAUAGAUAUGUCACAGAACACCAAUUGCGAAGGCAGCCUACUAAAGUAUGAUUGACGCUGAGGCACGAAAGCGUGGGGGAUCAAACAGG
rnacentral:rRNA from 1 species